rnacentral:rRNA from 1 species
GGAGGGUGCAAGCGUUAUCCGGAUUCACUGGGUUUAAAGGGUGCGUAGGCGGGCAGGUAAGUCCGUGGUGAAAUCUCUGAGCUUAACUCAGAAACUGCCAUGGAUACUAUUUGUCUUGAAUAUUGUGGAGGUAAGCGGAAUAUGUCAUGUAGCGGUGAAAUGCUUAGAUAUGACAUAGAACACCAAUUGCGAAGGCAGCUUACUACACAGUUAUUGACGCUGAGGCACGAAAGCGUGGGGAUCAAACAGGAUUAGAUACCCUGGUAGUCCACGCCCUAAACGAUGAUUACUCGACAUCAGCGAUACACUGUUGGUGUCUGAGCGAAAGCAUUAAGUAAUCCACCUGGGAAGUACGAUCGCAAGAUUG